CAGUCGAGCGAACAGAUGAGAAGCUUGCUUCUCUGAUGUUAGCGGCGGACGGGUGAGUAACACGUGGGUAACCUACCUAUAAGACUGGGAUAACUCCGGGAAACCGGGGCUAAUACCGGAUAAUAUAUUGAACCGCAUGGUUCAAUGUUGAAAGACGGUUUCGGCUGUCACUUAUAGAUGGACCCGCGCCGUAUUAGCUAGUUGGUAAGGUAACGGCUUACCAAGGCAACGAUACGUAGCCGACCUGAGAGGGUGAUCGGCCACACUGGAACUGAGACACGGUCCAGACUCCUACGGGAGGCAGCAGUAGGGAAUCUUCCGCAAUGGGCGAAAGCCUGACGGAGCAACGCCGCGUGAGUGAUGAAGGUCUUAGGAUCGUAAAACUCUGUUGUUAGGGAAGAACAAAUUUGUUAGUAACUGAACAAGUCUUGACGGUACCUAACCAGAAAGCCACGGCUAACUACGUGCCAGCAGCCGCGGUAAUACGUAGGUGGCAAGCGUUAUCCGGAAUUAUUGGGCGUAAAGCGCGCGUAGGCGGUUUCUUAAGUCUGAUGUGAAAGCCCACGGCUCAACCGUGGAGGGUCAUUGGAAACUGGGGAACUUGAGUGCAGAAGAGGAGAGUGGAAUUCCAUGUGUAGCGGUGAAAUGCGCAGAGAUAUGGAGGAACACCAGUGGCGAAAGGCGGCUCUCUGGUCUGUAACUGACGCUGAUGUGCGAAAGCGUGGGGAUCAAACAGGAUUAGAUACCCUGGUAGUCCACGCGUAACGAUGA
rnacentral:rRNA from 2 species